UACAGAGGGGGCAAGCGUUAUUCGGAAUUAUUGGGCGUAAAGGGCGCGUAGGCGGCCUGGCAAGUGGAAGGUGAAAUCCCUCGGCUUAACCGAGGAACUGCCCUCCAAACUGCUUGGCUUGAGUCCGGGAGAGGUGAGUGGAAUUCCCAGUGUAGCGGUGAAAUGCGUAGAUAUUGGGAGGAACACCAGUGGCGAAGGCGGCUCACUGGACCGGAACUGACGCUGAGGCGCGAAAGCGUGUGGAGCAAACGGG
rnacentral:rRNA from 1 species